AGGAUUAACGCUGGCGGCGUGCCUAACACAUGCAAGUCGAACGAGGUAGCAAUACCUAGUGGCAGACGGGUGAGUAACACGUGACCAACCUACCCUAGAGUGGGGGAUAACUAGCCGAAAGGUUAGCUAAUACCGCAUGAAACGUGCUGUGGCAUCACAGAACGUUAAAAGGAGCAAUCCGCUUAAGGACGGGGUCGCGUCCCAUUAGCUAGUUGGUGGGGUAACGGCCUACCAAGGCACCGAUGGGUAGCUGGUCUGAGAGGAUGAUCAGCCACACGGGGACUGAGACACGGCCCCGACUCCUACGGGAGGCAGCAGCAAGGAAUUUUCCGCAAUGGGGGCAACCCUGACGGAGCAACGCCGCGUGACGGAUGACGCCUCUUGGGGUGUAAACGUCUUUUGCCGAGGGAGAGACAGGACGGUACUCGGCGAAGUAAGGACUGGCUAACUACGUGCCAGCAGCCGC
rnacentral:rRNA from 1 species